AACGCGAAGAACCUUACCAGCCCUUGACAUGGGACGUUUGGGCUCCGGAGACGGAGUUCUUCAGUUCGGCUGGCGUCCACACAGGUGCUGCAUGGCUGUCGUCAGCUCGUGUCGUGAGAUGUUGGGUUAAGUCCCGCAACGAGCGCAACCCUCACCUUUAGUUGCCAUCAGGUUAAGCUGGGCACUCUAAAGGAACCGCCGGUGACAAGCCGGAGGAAGGCGGGGAUGACGUCAAGUCCUCAUGGCCCUUAUGGGCUGGGCUACACACGUGCUACAAUGGUGGUGACAGUGGGAUGCUAGGGGGCGACCCUGCGCAAAUCUCAAAAAGCCAUCUCAGUUCGGAUUGUUCUCUGCAACUCGAGAGCAUGAAGUUGGAAUCGCUAGUAAUCGCGGAUCAGCACGCCGCGGUGAAUACGUUCCCGGGCCUUGUACACACCGCUAGUC
rnacentral:rRNA from 1 species